rnacentral:rRNA from 1 species
UGAGGAAUAUUGGGCAAUGGAGGCAACUCUGACCCAGCCAUGCCGCGUGCAGGAAGACGGCCCUAUGGGUUGUAAACUGCUUUUAUAUGGGAAGAAACUUAUCCACGUGUGGAUAACUGACGGUACCAUAAGA